rnacentral:rRNA from 1 species
AGAUGCGAUCAUACCAGCACUAAUGCACCGGAUCCCAUCAGAACUCUGCAGUGAAGCGUGCUUGGGCGAGAGUAGUACUAGGAUGGGUGACCUCCCGUGAAGUCCUCGUGUUGCAUCCC